ensembl:antisense Gm28410 predicted gene 28410
AGAAAGAGAAUACUUUAUAAUACAGGAGGCAGAAGGCCUCCUCAGUGCGAGAGACAACCCAGAAUACUCUCUACACUCAUUGUUCUUAAGAGGGUGCCUGAGUCUUUUUAGAUUGAAGCAGAUAAAAAUUGACAGUAUCUGAUUGUUCUAAUCAGUGAACAGCAACUGCGAUGGCUCAGCCCACCAACGCAGAGUUCUCACUGUAAAGGGGGAGGGAGUCUGCAGCCCAUGGGUGUGCAUCAAUUAAGCCAUCCGCUCACCCCCUCCUUGCUGAGGGCACCGACCUGCCAACAUCAUCACCUCACGGAGCAGAGGGCAGAAGUGGAUGCCAGAAUUACAGCCGCGUGUCCACACACACUCUGGCUCUUAAAACAGUAACGGUGUUGCUCUUGAAAGUUGCACUCUGGCAACAGUGUACACUCUCACAGGAAUUGUGGCAAGAAGUGGCUGUUGCUGAAUAAACAUUUUCCCCUAUUUGCUACUUGAUAAAUCCUUUCUGAUGACAAGAACUACUUGUGGGAGAAUAGAAAUCUAAGGAUUAAAGGAACAUGAGGUUCCUCCACCUCGAGACUGCUCUGCUGACCUUAGCAUCCCAUCAAGCCCCCACUGAAGUUCAAACUAAACCAGUGAAUUUUACAAGCAGGAGCCUCAUACAGUACAAACAGAAGGAAACGCAGAGCUCUGGCCACUCUUUCAAGAAGUUUGUUUCACGGCUGCAGGCCUGCAAUCUAUGCCUGCCUACACCAGGAGGACUUGAAAUGAGGGCGAGAACUGCCAGUUCUCAUCCCACGAUGCUACUCGGGCAGUGAGCAGGAAAUCAAGACUGGACCAGUCAUAACCCACUUUGUUGAAAAACUUCACACAACUCCUUGGGGAACAGAAAUUUCAGAUAGUAUUAAGGGAACAGAACAGGGUGUCAGAGGUACGAAGACAGAGAAAAGAUAAGUGGUCACUGGGUGAUCAUCUCCUCUCUGUCCAGACGGAAUGAUUAUCGGACACAUACAAGUCCAGCACGGGGAACCCAUGGCUCCGUUCUGUCUGAGAACAUGUGUGAUGUAAGUGUAGGAAGGAGCCAGUUCUGCAUCCACCCUCAGAGCCCUCUAGAGGGAGAGACUGAGGUUAAGGGAGCACUCCCUGAGUGUCACCUUUCUCUGCACUGUUACAGAUCGUGGGGGACACUUCUAAAUAGAUAUUGUAUAAUGUAUAUUUUGCCUGCCCAUUCUAAAUUCCUCAAGGUUCCUGACAAACCACAGAUAUUUUAUGAGACCCAAAUGACAGGACUGACCUAGAAGUCACAGAAGGGAAGAAGAGAGAUGGCCCCAAGUACGAUAAAGGUACAGCUGCACCCACAGACACCCAGAAGGGAGUUGUCCCUGCUUGAUACCCUCUUUGUCACCCAGAUUACAAAUAUCUUUUUCCUUACAAGAAAAGAAUAAAGAUGUAUUAUUGG